rnacentral:rRNA from 1 species
AUUGAACGCUGGCGACAUGCCUUACACAUGCAAGUCGAACGGCAGCACGGGUGCUUGCACCUGGUGGCGAGUGGCGAACGGGUGAGUAAUACAUCGGAACAUGUCCUGUAGUGGGGGAUAGCCCGGCGAAAGCCGGAUUAAUACCGCAUACGAUCUACGGAUGAAAGCGGGGGACCUUCGGGCCUCGCGCUAUAGGGUUGGCCGAUGGCUGAUUAGCUAGGUGGUGGGGUAAAGGCCUACCAAGGCGACGAUCAGUAGCUGGUCUGAGAGGACGACCAGCCACACUGGGACUGAGACACGGCCCAGACUCCUACGGGAGGCAGCAGUGGGGAAUUUUGGACAAUGGGCGAAAGCCUGAUCCAGCAAUGCCGCGUGUGUGAAGAAGGCCUUCGGGUUGUAAAGCACUUUUGUCCGGAAAGAAAUCCUUGGCCCUAAUACGGUCGGGGGAUGACGGUACCGGAAGAAUAAGCACCGGCUAACUACGUG